AAAACAACUUGCAAACUGCUAGUUUUGUUGAGAAUCAAACGGGAGAGAACUGUCUGGAAAGGCCGAGAAAAUCAAGAAGCGAAGCAAAGAAGCAAGAAAGAUAGAUUGUACCCUGUCUCCCGUUUUGUACCUCUCUGAAUUGUUUCACAAACAUAGUCAAUGGCGUCACAAGUUGGUAGCCUGAUUUAUGAUGAGAAUUUGAAUGUUCACUAUACUGGUUGUGCUUUUUUGAAGUAUGAGUCAAAAGAACAAGCCCUUGUGCCUUGUGGUUGAGAUUUUUUUCUCAAAAUAUUGACCUCUGGGUUGCGUAUUGCUAGCAUUAUUUUAUGCAUUGUUCAUGUUCAAGGAUCAAAAGAACUUGAGUUUCAGGAAGUUGGAUGCUCAUGUUCAUCAGCUGAAAGGCAGCAGCUCCAGGUCUCCAACAUUCAGCAUUAAUUUCAUGGGAGACUAUUAGGUUGGUGCAGGAUUUUUUGGUGCUGCAGCUUUGUUUUUGUUCUUUGUAGUAUUGGGAAUUUAUAGAUUUUUGGAGUUUUAGGUUUUUGCAGUCUCUAGGACAUUUUCUCAGUAAGUGCAAUUUUUUGUGUGUUGGAUCUACAGCUUGGAUCUGCUCUUGAGGUGUUUUAGUGCUAGAUCUAUAGUUUUUGGCUGUUUGGGUAUGUUGGUUGUUGUUGUGCAAUGGAUGGCGUUGGUGCAUGACUAAACAAAGGAUUUUGGAGAGCUUUGUUGGGAGAUGCAGCAGCAGAAAACUGCAUUUUUGCAAUUCAUAAAAGUAUGUUUGGAGCUGUGCUAUGUUUUGUUAAGAAGCUUGGCUGUUUGUGCAGUGUGUUUUGGAGUUGCAGCCUUAAUGUUGCAUUUUGUUGGCUAUUAGUGUAGUGUUUUUGGGGCUGGACGCGAUGACUAGGCCUAUUAUUUUUGCAGUGUCCAGGAGUGUUUGGCUGGUUGUACAUUAUAGAAUUCUGUUCAUACUCUUUGUAAAGAUGAUUGAACCAUGUUUAGUAGAAUUACUUGCUGUC